UGUUUUGAAGCAGUAAUGCAAAUGGCUGUUACUCCCAACACACCCAAUGGCAGCAUUUCAGCGUCCGGCGGCUGCUCCCCGGGAAUCGGGCCCACACGGCUCCCUGACCCCGCGGAGCUCAGCGUAGGCUCUGCCCCGAGUGGGGGGACCGGGAGCCCCUGAGGCCUGCCUGGCUGAGCCUCCACAGCGACCGUGAGGAACCAGGGCCGGCGGUCAGAGCUGCGCUUCAGGCUGUGACCCUGGAGUCCCAAGGGUGUCACCAAGGGACCAACUAACUGAUGCGGGUUCCUGAGCGUCUCCAGCACCCAGCGGGCUCGGCCGACUCCCAGGCAACACACAAGAAACAGCUGUCCAGUCACAGACCGCAUGGAGAAGAGUCCAAGUGCAAAGGGUGUUUUACAAACAGAAGGACGGAUAUCACAAAAGGAAUAUGUUUGUGGUGACAAAUAAUGGUCUGAAGAAAGCAAGUAGAUGACAACAAACCCUUAAACUUGAAAUCCUCUGAGGCAGAACACAGCAAUGUGGGAUAAACAAGAAAGAAGCAUUUUAAAAGGAUAAACUACAGCACCUGAUAACAGGCUUGCGACCUCACUGAGACGAAUGCUGGCCACGCAGCCCCCGCUGUCAGGACCCGCGCAGAGGAACGCAGCCUGGGAGCGGGAGGGGGUGCACCGCGGGGAGGGGCCGCUCCCGCUUCUGUGCCCUCUGGGUGCCAGGACAGCUCCUCACUCCGACGACAGGGCAGCGAGCGAGCAGGAAGACACAGCCUGCAAGCGUGAUCCUGCCUGAAGGUCAGGAGGAAGGCGUGCAAAGAGGCGGGCGUGGCCUCCAGGCAGAGGCACUGGGAGGACGUCCAGAUGAAGGCCUGGGCCUCGCCGCCCCCUCUGUACAAUGUGCCGGCUCAGCGGUCUGUCAGUAAUUCAACCCACCAGCCUUGGGCCCGCACGGCGACCGUGUGAAGCUGACACCCAGGCCAGGCCUGGAUGCUGCAAAGGCGGUGAGCAUGGCCAUGUCCGCCCUCACCGCCACCGUGUGGCUCAAGGCUGGGGCUCUUCCCUCAGGACCCCAGGCCCCCGGGGACCAGCGGGCAGGUGGGGAUGGAGGUGGGGACGCCGCGCUCUCCUCACGCAGACACUGCAGGGUCACUGUCGCCCGGAGCAGUCGUCAGGGCCUGGGGCCUGUCCCGCCAUACCUGGGGCCUCCCUCUCGGAGGAACAGCCGGGUCCUGAGUCUCUUCGCUCAGAAGCUUGUGUGGUUCCAUUUCUUUCCUCCAAACCCUCCCAAGACUGCAACCCCCGCCCUUGGAAAGGCUGUGACAAAGUGAAUGAGGCGCAGAGCUGUGCUCGAAUUUAUGCAGAACCAUUACCCCGUCGGCGAGUCACCCUCCCUCCCCUCUUCAGCAGUCAGGCCUCCCAUUAGCCAGUUUGAUGGCCGCUGCUCACAAAGGGGCACCUUUGCUAAACCAGCUUCGAGGCCUCUGGAUCCGUCCCCCGGGAGGAGCUGGUUAAUUUGGAAUGUAGUCGUAUGCAUGAGGCCGACACAGCCCGAGUCACCAUCCGCGUGUUCUUUUUUGUAGCUGCUGUUUAUUAUCCCUUUCCUUUCCUCUCUGGGAGCUGUAAUUCUCAACAUGCUGCAGACAGUCUUGGGUAAUCUUUUCUCUGGGAAUCCUGGAGAGGAUGCACACGUAUCCUUGGUGAACUGGUGGAUUCCUUGGUUGGCCACUCUUUGCUGCUUUUCAUUAGAGUGAUUCCCCAAGCACUCUUUGUUCAACGUGUCUUCAAGGUGUUGGUUUUUUUUUUUUUUUUUGAGACAUUUUAACAAAUGCCAUUUCCCCUGACAUUUUUAAAAAAUUUUAUUAUUUAUCUAGCUGUGGCGAGUCUUUGGUGCUGUGCGCGGACUUUCCAAAGUUGCGGCGGGUAGGGCUCCUCACUGUGGCUGGUGGCCCCUCUUACUGGGGGGCACGGGCGCUGGGUGCAGACUCAGCAGCUGUGGCACAUGUGCUUGGUUGCUCUGUGGCAUGUGGAAUCUUCCUGGACCAGGGAUUGAACCUCCGUCCCCUAAACUGGCAGGUGGAUUCUUAUCCACUCUUCCCCUGGGGAGGUCCCCAAGGUUUUUAAAAGCAGAGAGAGAGGCCUCUGUCAAUUUUCCCAAGUUGGCCUAUGAGUCCACUUGUGGACUGUAGCAGAACCCACUGUGAACUGUAGCAGAAAUCAGGAAAAUUUAAUAAAUGUUGAUCAAUGACUCUACCUUGCUUUUCAGGUUUCUCUUGAGUAAUUUUCACAGACUUCUUUCAUACCAACCAAUACAAGUAGGAUUUCUGAGCCAAGCUUUCAACUUACAUUUACGAGGUGACAUAUCUUUAUAAAUAGAUACCUACCUCUCAAUGAUAUCUGCCCAUAAGUCAGAAAGAGAGAUGUGGCUUCUGAAUUACACACCCUGAAGACUUCCUCUCUCCUUUCGCAACGUGUGUGGCAGCAUGGCACACACUCAGUGCUCAGCAAACCCUACUGAGCUUGAAGAUGCUGACAAUUACGUCUUCUUACACCUGUCUCAGGAACAGAAGUUCCAAGUCUGUCUAGACUGUAUAGAGAUGUUUUACCUUUGUUCCUUUAAAAAUGAAGACCAAGUAUUUCCAAUAAAACAUGGCACUUUAAAAUCAGAGUAUCAUGUAUGUACAUCUGAACAGCCCAAAACACGGUUUUCAGUUAAGGAACCCAUUUCACAGCAAGAUAUUUCCAGGUUGUGAGCAACAACCUUUCAGCAUUGCUUUGGGGUGAUAGGAUACCCCAAUAGUUUUGCAUGAGUAUUUAUUCCUACUAGGUAAGAGAGUAAGCUUCUUGAUGACACUGCUUCUAUAUGGCAAUGGCUUUUUUUAACUUUCCAAUGUCACUUUGCCAUCUUCCCAUAAGCCCGGGCACUCACAAAUAUCUGGAACUCCACUGCCUGGAAGGUUCUGGGGAAAAGCCUUUCCAGAACAUGUCACCUCUGGCAGCCCUGGAAUCCCUGACCUCUGCUUUUCCUGUGUGCGUACUCCAGAGCUCCUGGGAGAGAGAUUCUUUCUCUUAAUUAAUCUGGAAAACUGAGGCAAAAAAGGAGAAAUGUUCUAGUUCCCAGGGGGAACUGGCAGACUCGGCCUUACUGGGGCCCUCUGCUCUCCCCUAGAGGCUGCUCUAGUGGCCCCACCGCCACAGACAGUUGUUCACUUCAUCCAGAUGUGUCUGCUUUGUCUUGAAGAGCUCUGACUGCAUGAAGAUCUCAGGCCUGACUCCUCACCACUGGCUCCACAGCAAGACAUGGCUGGACAUCAUCCUCACGAGCUGGCGUCUCCAUCCAUCUCGCCGCCCAGUGGCCCCCAGGCCCCACCUGCUCAGGUGCUGUGGGCACCCCUCCCAGGCCAGCUGUUUGGUGCAGAACUGCUCCAUUACAACAGCCAUAAGGCUUGUGGGAUGUUUGGAACAAUGACGUGCUCACUGCUGUGUCACUUUCCCCUUG